rnacentral:rRNA from 1 species
UACGUAGGCAGCAAGCGUUGUUCGGAAUUACUGGGCGUAAAGCGUGUGUAGGCGGUGCUCUAAGUCUGUUGUGAAAUCUCCCGGCUUAACCGGGAGGGUGCGGCGGAAACUGGAGUGCUUGAGGGUGGGAGAGGUAAGCGGAAUUCCUGGUGUAGCGGUGAAAUGCGUAGAUAUCAGGAGGAACACCUGUGGUGUAGACAGCUUACUGGACCACUUCUGACGCUGAGACGCGAAAGCGUGGGUAGCAAACAGG